UGUGAUUUAAGGAAGCGUGACAACUAAUAUUAACCUCCUAUAGGUGUCACAUUUAUAGCAUCUGACUCAGUCACUGACAAAGAACAAGAUGAACACAUGCAGGAAGCUGAUGGCAGAGCAGUUCCUGAGUCAGGCCCUGGGCAUCAUCUGCCUGCUGACCGGAGAGUUUUUCAGCAUUACAUAAAAAGGCAACACAAAUCAAACCAACAAAAAAA